ACUUGAUGUACACGGUUGUACACUGUGGACUGACUGUCAAUUCUUGGAAUUUUGCGAGAGAGGUCAUUUCUUGGAAAUCGAACAUGCCAUCAUUUCUAUUGUAGGGGUGACAGGAUGUAGAAAAAGGUUUUAUAAUGCUAGACGAAUAUAUUUCUACAACAAACUUUUUGAAUUAACAUUCUAUAAUACAUUUAACAUGUGUAAGUGUUAUUAGUUAGUUAGCAAUUACCCCCAGUAAACAAUAAUAACAUCAAAAUAAAUGCCUCUCCACCCCGAACUUGGAUGUGGCAGAACUUGACCUACUUCACGGUUACUCACACCUCGCAGCUGUCAAUGGCUGACAAUCUUGUGUUAACAUUCUCCGUUGCUGGUUAAAUUAAGCAAGAUGACAACCCCGAUCUAUGAUGUGGUUCAACAUUAACCUGUAGAUUUACCGGGAAUGAUCAAGCCUGCUGAUGACUACCAAUGGAACUGAGUAUGACUGAACAGCCGUUUUUUAGCCUGCAGACGAGCCGGACAUUUUUACACCAGGUUGGGCCUAUCUCAGUAUCUGCAUGGUGUGACCUCCAAUUUCAAGAUUUCAUGGAUUCUAAGCCAGAGUGUACGAUUUUCUUAAUUGUGCGUGUUCUGAAAUGAAUUUCAUCAAGUUUGACUUCAAUGAUGUCGGGACAUUGUUGUCGUGGCUUUUCGAAUGGACAAGUUGAGUGAUGGACUUUCAAAUUCUCUUCUGCGAAAUCCUUACGAUGGUGGUUGACGGAGAUAGCGACGAAUAUUGAUCACAAAAAGGUUCUCCACAGCUGCGAUGACGUCAUCAUGCAAGUUGAAAUGUGUCCCAGGUAGAGCUUUUUUCAUGUUUGGAAACAGAUGGAAGUCUGAUGAAGCCAGACCAGAAGAACAAGUCACCUAGAGCUGGCUGGGACCAGAGGGUGGUCAUUCUUGGAUGUCAGAUGUACUCAACUCUUGCAUGGACCAACACUAGACAGCGGGUGAUACUUGGACGUCAGAUGUACUCAACUCUUGCAUGGACCAACACCAGAUGGGGUGAUACUUGGAUGUCAGAUGUACUCAACUCUUGCAUGGACCAACACUAGACAGGGGGUGAUACUUGGAUGUCAGAUGUACUCAACUCUUGCAUGGACCAACACCAGAUGGGGUGAUACUUGGAUGUCAGAUGUACUCAACUCUUGCAUGGACCAACACUAGAUGGGGUGAUACUUGGAUGUCAGAUGUACUCAACUUUUGCAUGGACCAACACCAGAUGGGGUGAUACUUGGAUGUCAGAUGUACUCAACUCUUGCAUGGACCAACACCAGAUGGGGUGAUACUUGGAUGUCAGAUGUACUCAACUCUUGCAUGGACCAACACUAGACAGAGGGUGAUACUUGGAUGUCAGAUGUACUCAACUCUUGCAUGGACCAACACUAGAAAGAGGGUGAUACUUGGAUGUCAGAUGUACUCAACUCUUGCAUGGACCAACACUAGAAAGAGGGUGAUACUUGGAUGUCAGAUGUACUCAACUCUUGCAUGGACCAACACUAGAAAGAGGGUGAUACUUGGAUGUCAGAUGUACUCAACUCUUGCAUGGACCAACACUAGACAGAGGGUGAUACUUGGAUGUCAGAUGUACUCAACUCUUGCAUGGACCAACACUAGAAAGAGGGUGAUACUUGGAUGUCAGAUGUACUCAACUCUUGCAUGGACCAACACUAGACAGAGGGUGAUACUUGGAUGUCAGAUGUACUCAACUCUUGCAUGGACCAACACUAGAAAGAGGGUGAUACUUGGAUGUCAGAUGUACUCAACUCUUGCAUGGACCAACACUAGAAAGAGGGUGAUACUUGGAUGUCAGAUGUACUCAACUCUUGCAUGGACCAACACUAGAAAGAGGGUGAUACUUGGAUGUCAGAUGUACUCAACUCUUGCAUGGACCAACACCAGAUGGGGUGAUACUUGGAUGUCAGAUGUACUCAACUCUUGCAUGGACCAACACCAGAUGGGGUGAUACUUGGAUGUCAGAUGUACUCAACUCUUGCAUGGACCAACACCAGAUGGGGUGAUACUUGGAUGUCAGAUGUUGAUGUAUAAAAAAAAUUAUGUGGUCCUUGUGGGAACCUAACAGUGGUCGAGCUGUUUCAGCAACGGUAAACUGAUGAUCAGUAUAGCCCGUGCAAUCCAUUUGUUCCGUGCUGUCCGUGCAGGGACCAUAUGGUGGUAGAGCUGUAAUGGCUGCCAUAGACUGAUGAUCAGUGCAGCCCGAGCGGUCCAUAUGUGGUUGCUUACCUGCUGGUUUAACCAGACG